rnacentral:rRNA from 1 species
GACGAACCGUGCGAACGUUGUUCGGAUUCACUGGGCAUAAAGGGCGCGUAGGCGGGCCGUCACGUCCGGAGUGAAAGCCUCCCGCUUAACGGGAGAAGGGCUUUGGAUACGGGCGGUCUAGAGGAGGGUAGGGGCAUGUGGAACUUCCGGUGGAGCGGUGAAAUGCGUAGAUAUCGGAAGGAACGCCGGUGGCGAAAGCGACGUGCUGGACCCUUUCUGACGCUGAGGCGCGAAAGCCAGGGGAGCAAACGGG